UCGCCCUGCUUCGGCUCGCGCACGGUGCGCACACACACUGGCCUGCGCCCACUGUCUGGCACUCCCUAGUGAGAUGAACCCGGUACCUCAGAUGGAAAUGCAGAAAUCACCGUCUUCUGCGUCGCUCACGCUGGGAGCUGUAGGUGUCUGCUGCAGAACUGAUUGCUUUCUUGCUGUGUGGGGGAAAAAACUUCAUACAUUGUAUUAUGAGAACAGAAGAAAUGCAGUUUGUGCUUUUACUUCACAGUAAUAUUGUUCAAGUCUUCUGUUUCCUUGUUGAUGUUCAGUCUAGUUGCUUUAUCUGUUAUUGAAAAGUGGGUUAUUUUUAUCUCCAACUGUGAUUGUUGAAUUGCCUGUUUCUCUAUUCAAUUCCAUCAAUCAGUUUUUACUUCACGCAUUUUUGGGCUUUGUUGUUAGGUGCUAUCUUUGUGCUGCUGUAACAAAGUACCACACACUGGAUAAUCUAUAAAUAAUAGAAAUUUAUUUCUUACAGUCCUGGAAGCUGGGAAAUCUAAGAUCAAGGUGCUGAAAGGCUGCAUGUCUGGUGA
rnacentral:lncRNA from 10 species